rnacentral:rRNA from 1 species
UGCAGUCGACGGUAACAGGGAGCUUGCUCCGCUGACGAGUGGCGAACGGGUGAGUAAUAUAUCGGAACGUGCCUGAUAGUGGGGGACAACUAGUCGAAAGAUUAGCUAAUACCGCAUACGCCCUACGGGGGAAAGGGGGGGAUUCGCAAGAACCUCUCGCUAUCAGAGCGGCCGAUAUCUGAUUAGCUAGUUGGUGAGGUAAAGGCUCACCAAGGCUUCGAUCAGUAGCUGGUCUGAGAGGACGACCAGCCACACUGGGACUGAGACACGGCCCAGACUCCUACGGGAGGCAGCAGUGGGGAAUUUUGGACAAUGGGCGCAAGCCUGAUCCAGCAAUGCCGCGUGAGUGAAGAAGGCCUUCGGGUUGUAAAGCUCUUUUGUCAGGGAAGAAACGGCUUGGGUUAAUACCUUGGGCUAAUGACGGUACCUGAAGAAUAAGCACCGGCUAACUACGUGCCAGCAGCCGCGGUAAUACGUAGGGUGCAAGCGUUAAUCGGAAUUACUGGGCGUAAAGCGUGCGCAGGCGGUUGUGUAAGACAGGUGUGAAAUCCCCGGGCUUAACCUGGGAAUGGCAUUUGUGACUGCACGGCUAGAGUGUGUCAGAGGGGGGUAGAAUUCCACGUGUAGCAGUGAAAUGCGUAGAGAUGUGGAGGAAUACCGAUGGCGAAGGCAGCCCCCUGGGAUAACACUGACGCUCAUGCACGAAAGCGUGGGGAGCAAACAGGAUUAGAUACCCUNNNAGUCCACGCCCUAAACGAUGUCUACUAGUUGUCGGGUCUUAAUUGACUUGGUAACGCAGCUAACGCGUGANUANACCGCCUGGGGGANUACGGUCGCANNANUNAAACUCNAAGGAAUUGACGGGGACCCGCACAANCGGUNGNAUGAUGUGGAUUAAUUNC